UACGGAGGGUGCGAGCGUUAUCCGGAUUUAUUGGGUUUAAAGGGUGCGUAGGCGGAGUGCCAAGUCAGCGGUAAAAAUUCGGGGCUCAACCCCGUCGUGCCGUUGAAACUGGCGCCCUUGAGUGGGCGAGAAGUAUGCGGAAUGCGUGGUGUAGCGGUGAAAUGCAUAGAUAUCACGCAGAACCCCGAUUGCGAAGGCAGCAUACCGGCGCCCGACUGACGCUGAAGCACGAAAGCGUGGGUAUCGAACAGG
rnacentral:rRNA from 1 species